rnacentral:sRNA from 1 species
AACGAAGUAUGGCUCGGCGACCACAGCCAC